rnacentral:rRNA from 1 species
UGAGGAAUAUUGGUCAAUGGGCGUAAGCCUGAACCAGCCAAGUCGCGUGCAGGAAGACGGCUCUAUGAGUUGUAAACUGCUUUUGUACGAGGGUAAACGCAGAUACGCGUAUCUGUCUGAAAGUAUCGUACGAAUAAGGAUCGGCUAACUCCGUGCCAGCAGCCGCGGUAAUACGGAGGAUUCAAGCGUUAUCCGGAUUUAUUGGGUUUAAAGGGUGCGUAGGCGGUCGGAUAAGUUAGAGGUGAAAUCCCGAGGCUCAACUUCGGAAUUGCCUCUGAUACUGUUCGGCUAGAGAGUAGUUGCGGUAGGCGGAAUGUAUGGUGUAGCGGUGAAAUGCUUAGAGAUCAUACAGAACACCGAUUGCGAAGGCAGCUUACCAAGCUACUUCUGACGUUGAGGCACGAAAGCGUGGGGGGCAAACAGG